rnacentral:lncRNA from 1 species
AAAUCUCUCAUCAUCCAUCAAGAAAUUUCCACCUCAAAAAAUUAUCUCUAGCUCUUUUUAACUGAAGCUUUUCCUGAGCUGGAUAAAUAAAGGAGAAUGCAUUGGCUUCUUUACCUUUCUUAAUGCCUAAAAAAAUGUUUACUGUCUCUCAGGAAACAAAUAGAAAAAAUAGUAAUUUAUAAUUUUUUUCACAGAUGUGGAACCUGUGUCAAUUGGCAACUUGAAGUAAUUCCAGAAUUAAUUGGGGUCACCUGUACCUUGAUUAGUUUAAGGCCUCUUUGUCUCUGAGCUCAAAUAUGAGAUCAUCGCAGCUAGACAAGAGCAACAGGCAGAAAUGAGGCUAUGCUCAGAUUCAUCUUUACCCUCUGUCUUGGCAAGCCUUGUGAUUUAAAUUCAUCUGCCUCUCCUUGUUUGAUUCAUCCAUCGGUAAAGUUCCUGGAGUCAACUUCAAAGGAAGCUAAGGUUGCCAGGAUACAUCCAGGCGACAAAGGCCAGGGCUCCUGUUACUAUAAGAACUCCUGCAAGAGUGAAUGUGAAUUGUGGCGCUCCCAGCUAUUCUGCUCCUGUUUCCAUCAGCCCCCUCCCUGAGGGGCUCAAGAGGCUGUGAUAAAAGCCAAAGUACCAAGGCAAAGAACAAAUGUCACAAGGUGAGGCUCUCAGGUGGGCUCUUUCUCUGUUGGCUGGUAGCUAAUCAGUCUCAAAUCUUACCUUUCAACUAAUAAUGGCUACUUAUUUCAGAUAAUCUUGAUCUCUUCUGCUUCCUUCUCACCAGUGUGUAGUAAAUAUUUCCUUGCUAUAGAAAAGGAAUUCAAAGAAAAAUAAUUACUCUUAAGUUCUUAAAUUGAAGUUCCUAAAAUCAAUGAAUUUGAUAAAUAUGUGUAACCACGUAACCCAUCACCUUAAUCAAGACAGGAUAUUUCUAUCACCUGGGAAGUUUGCUCACAUCCCUUCCAGUCAAUCUUCCCUCCACAGGCAACCACAAUUCUGAUUUAUAUUCCAUGAAUAAUUUGACUGUUCAUGGACUUUAUAUGAAUAGAAUCAUACAGUAUAUAUUCUUGUAUCUGACUUUUUUGGCUCAGGAGAAUGUUUUUGAGAUUCUUCCAUGUUGCUGUGUAUAUUACUAGUUCAAUUCUUUGCGUAGGUGAGUAUUAUUGCAUUACAGUAUUAUUCCACAUUUGUUUAUCUAUUCUUCUAUUGAUUGGUAUUUGGUUUGUUUCCAGAUUGGGUCUCAUAUAACUAAAGUUGCUAUAAACAUUCUUACACAAGCCUUUUGGUGGACAUAUGUUUUCAUUUAUCUUGAGUUCAGACCUAGAAUUGAAACUGAUGAAAGAUAGGUAGAUGUUUGUUUAACUUCAUAAUAGGUAUGAAAUGAUAUGUCACUGUGGUUACAAUUAGCAUUUCCCUGAUAACUAAUGAAGUUGAACAUUUUCACAUGAGAUUGUUGGAGAUUUAUAUCUCACUUUCAUUGAGCAUCUGCUCACAUUUUUUGCCCAUUUUAGAUUUUUUCUUUUUUAUAUGAUCUUUACUGAUGUAUAAUUUACAUACAAUAAAAUGCACUCAUUUUAAGUACA